GGAAUCUUAGACAAUGGGCGCAAGCCUGAUCUAGCCAUGCCGCGUGAGUGAUGAAGGCCUUAGGGUCGUAAAGCUCUUUCGCCUGUGAAGAUAAUGACAGUACCUGGUAAAGAAACCCCGGCUAACUCCGUGCCAGCAGCCGCGGUAAUACGGAGGGGGUUAGCGUUGUUCGGAAUUACUGGGCGUAAAGCGCGCGUAGGCGGACUAUUAAGUCAGGGGUGAAAUCCCGGGGCUCAACCCCGGAACUGCCUCUGAUACUGGUAGUCUUGAGUUCGAGAGAGGUGAGUGGAAUUCCGAGUGUAGAGGUGAAAUUCGUAGAUAUUCGGAAGAACACCAGUGGCGAAGGCGACUCGCUGGACAAGUAUUGACGCUGAGGUGCGAAAGCGUGGGGAGC
rnacentral:rRNA from 1 species